rnacentral:rRNA from 1 species
GAUGAACGCUGGCGGCGUGCCUAAUACAUGCAAGUCGAGCGAACAGACGAGGAGCUUGCUCCUCUGACGUUAGCGGCGGACGGGUGAGUAACACGUGGAUAACCUACCUAUAAGACUGGGAUAACUUCGGGAAACCGGAGCUAAUACCGGAUAAUAUAUUGAACCGCAUGGUUCAAUAGUGAAAGACGGUUUUGCUGUCACUUAUAGAUGGAUCCGCGCCGCAUUAGCUAGUUGGUAAGGUAACGGCUUACCAAGGCGACGAUGCGUAGCCGACCUGAGGGAGUGAUCGGCGACACUGGAACUGAGACACGGUCCAGACUCCUACGGGAGGCAGCAGUAGGGAAUCUUCCGCAAUGGGCGAAAGCCUUACGGAGCAACGCCGCGUGAGUGAUGAAGGUCUUCGGAUCGUAAAACUCUGUUAUUAGGGAAGAACAAAUGUGUAAGUAACUAUGCACUUCUUGACGGUACCUAAUCAGAAAGCCACGGCUAACUACGUG